rnacentral:rRNA from 1 species
CGGGCCCUCGGCGUGCAGCUUGCAUGCCUGCAGGUCGACGAUUUUCCGGUUGAUCCUGCCGGAGGCUACUGCUAUCGGGGUCCGACUAAGCCAUGCGAGUUGAGAGGGGUAAGCCCUCGGCGAAUUGCUCAGUAACACGCGGAUAACCUGCCCUUGGGUCCGGGAUAACCCCGGGAAACUGGGACUAAUACCGGAUAGAUCAAGGAUACUGGAAUGUUCCCUGGUCUAAAACUCCGGUGCCCAAGGAUGGGUCUGCGGCCUAUCAGGUAGUAGUGGGUGUAACGUACCUACUAGCCUACGACGGGUAAGGGUUGUGAGAGCAAGAGCCCUGAGAUGGAUUCUGAGACAUGAAUCCAGGCCCUACGGGGUGCAGCAGGCGCGAAAACUUUACAAUGCGGGAAACCGCGAUGAGGGGACCCCGAGUGCCAGUACCUAGUACUGGCUGUCCCGCUGUCUAAAUAACAGUGGUUAGCAAGGGCCGGGCAAGACCGGUGCCAGCCGCCGCGGUAACACCGGCGGCCCGAGUGGUAGCCGUUAUUAUUGGGUUUAAAGGGUCCGUAGCCGGCUUAUUAAGUCUCUUGGGAAAUCUGGCGACUUAAUCGUCAGGCGUCCAAGAGAUACUGAUAGGCUUGGGACCGGGAGAGGUGGGAGGUACUCCAGGGGUAGGGGUGAAAUCUCGUAAUCCUUGGGGGACCACCGAUGGCGAAGGCAUCCCACCAGAACGGGUCCGACGGUGAGGGACGAAAGCUGGGGGCACGAACCGGAUUAGAUACCCGGGUAGUCCCAGCUGUAAACGAUGCUCGCUAGGUGUCAGAUGCGGUGCGACCGCAUCUGGUGCCGCAGUGAAAACUUGAGGCGAGUCACCUGGGAAGUACGGUCGCAAGGCUGAAACUUAAAGGAAUUGGCGGGGGAGCACUACAACGGGUGGAGCCUGCGGUUCAAAUGGAUU